GAUGAAGAACGCAGCGAAAUGCGAUAAGUAAUGUGAAUUGCAGAAUUCAGUGAAUCAUCGAAUCUUUGAACGCAUCUUGCGCUCUUUGGUAUUCUGAGGAGCAUGCCUGUUUGAGUGUCAUUAAAUUCUCAACUACACUGACUUUGAAUUGGUGUGGCUUGGAUUUGGGGGGAAAAUUGUUGUGGGCUUUUUGUAUAGUCUGCUCCCCUGAAAUUGAUUAGCGGUACCUUUGUGGAACUGUCUACAGGUGUGAUAAUUAUCUACAUCUUAGACAUCUGCUGGAAUGCUGCUUUCUAAACCUUACUUGUAUUGACCAUCUUGACCUCAAAUCAGGUAGGACUACCCGCUGAACUUAAGCAUAUCAAUAAGCGGAGGA
rnacentral:misc_RNA from 1 species